rnacentral:rRNA from 1 species
AACGAACGCUGGCGGCAGGCCUCAAACAUGCAAGUCUAGGGGGUGUAGCAAUACAUCACCGGCGGACGGGUGCGUAACACGUGGGAAUAUACCUUUUGGUUCGGAACAACGCAGGGAAACCUGCGCUAAUACCGAAUGUGCCCUUACGGGGAAAGAUUUAUCGCCAAAGGAUUAGCCCGCGUAGGAUUAGCUAGUUGGUGAGGUAAUGGCUCACCAAGGCUCCGAUCCUUAGCUGUUCUGAGAGGAAGAUCAGCCACACUGGGACUGAGACACGGCCCAGACUCCUACGGGAGGCAGCAGUUGGGAAUCUUGGACAAUGGGGGAAACCCUGAUCCAGCCAUGCCGCGUGAGUGAUGAAGGCCUUGGUUGUAAACUCUUCGACGGGACGAUAAUGACGGUACCCGUAGAAGAGACU